rnacentral:piRNA from 1 species
UUUGUUUGGUGGCCUUAUUGA